UAUUUUCUAGUCCCUAAUUCACAUUUUUAUUGUCCAAAUAAAUUAAAAACUUUAAUAACUAGUCCCUAUAAAGAAAAAAUUUCCAUCAACUAAAGGCACUAUAGAUAUUUCAGCGGCUUUGCUAAAAUAUUUCAUCCUCUCUCUAAAGAAGUCCCUAAAGACCUAAACCCACUGAGACUGGUCAAAUUGCAAUCUCUGUAGACGCAAUCGUUUGAGACGCAUGUUGGGUUUCCUGAUUCCAAGCUUCUGCAUCGAUUGCUUCUCAUUAUCUAGUCAUCUUUAAGGGAUAAUGCGUCAUUCACUUCUCAUUAUCUGUGGAGGAUCAAGGAUUUGCAAGGUAAAUCUGGUGGUGCUCCAAACUCCAUUAGGUUCUGUCUCAUGACUUUGCAGUUUUUUCUUUGUUAAGCUUUAAGAGCUUUAUGGCGAAUAAAAGAUCAUGCAAUAACCCUCAAACAUAGUCUAUAAUAACCCCUGUA